AUUGAACGCUGGCGGCAGGCCUAACACAUGCAAGUCGAACGAGUGGCGGACGGGUGAGUAAUGUCUGGGAAACUGCCUGAUGGAGGGGGAUAACUACUGGAAACGGUAGCUAAUACCGCAUACCAUCGGAUGUGCCCCGGUGGGAUUAGCUAGUGGGGGGGGUAAAGGCUCACCUAGGCGACGAUCCCUAGCUGGGCUGAGAGGAUGACCAGCCACACUGGAAUGGAGACACGGUCCAGACUCGUACGUGAGGCAGCAGUGGGGAAUAUUGCACAAUGGGCGCAAGCCUGAUGCAGCCAUGCCGCGUGUGUGAAGAAGGCCUUCGGGUUGUAAAGUACUUUCAGCGGGGAGGCGUUACCCGCAGAAGAAGCACCGGCUAACUCCGUGCCAGCAGCCGCGGUAAUUC
rnacentral:rRNA from 1 species